GAUGAACGCUGGCGGCGUGCCUAAUACAUGCCAGUCGAGCGAACAGACGAGGAGCUUGCUCCUCUGACGUUAGCGGCGGACGGGUGAGUAACACGUGGAUCACCUACCUAUCAGACUGGGAUCACUUCGGGACACCGGAGCUAAUACCGGAUAAUAUCUUGAACCGCAUGGUUCAAUAGUGAAAGACGGUUUUGCUGUCACUUAUAGAUGGAUCCGCGCUGCAUUAGCUAGUUGGUAAGGUAACGGCUUACCAAGGGAACGAUGCGUAGACGACCUGAGAGGGGGGUCGGCCACCCGGGAAGUGAGACACGGUCCAGACGCCUACGGGAGGCAGCAGUAGGGAAUCUGCGGCAAUGGGGGAGAGCCUGACGGAGCAACGCCGCGUGAGUGAUGAAGGUCUUCGGAUCGGAAAACUCUGUUAUUGGGGAAGAACAAAUGUGUAAGUAACUAUGCACGUCGUGACGGUACCUAAUCAGAAAGCAACGGCUAACUACGUG
rnacentral:rRNA from 1 species